CCUACGGGCGGCAGCAGUGGGGAAUAUUGCACAAUGGGGGAAACCCUGAUGCAGCGACGCCGCGUGAGUGAAGAAGUAUUUCGGUACGUAAAGCUCUAUCAGCAAGGAAGAAAAUGACGGUACCUGACUAAGAAGCCCCGGCUAACUACGUGCCAGCAGCCGCGGUAAUACGUAGGGGGCAAGCGUUAUCCGGAUUUACUGGGUGUAAAGGGAGCGUAGACGGCAGCGCAAGUCUGGAGUGAAAUCCCAUGGCUUAACCAUGGAACUGCUUUGGAAACUGUGCAGCUAGAGUGCAGGAGAGGUAAGCGGAAUUCCUAGUGUAGCGGUGAAAUGCGUAGAUAUUAGGAGGAACACCAGUGGCGAAGGCGGCUUACUGGACUGUAACUGACGUUGAGGCUCGAAAGCGUGGGGAGCAAACAGGAUUAGAUACCCCAGUAGUC
rnacentral:rRNA from 1 species